UGUAACCAGUCACAAAAAAAUUCUAUUUAAAAGUUGUCUCCCUUGUGUGCAUAGUUGUUUUUAGCCUAUUUUCUUUCCUGUACAUUGAAUCUGUUGGGCAAUUUUUCUUUCCCGCUCUGGCAGUAGUAUUUCAUGGGUUGAGCUGGAAGGACAUGUUUUUUCAAAUGUAAUUUAAGAGCCGUGCUUCUUUGAGAGCUUAACAUCUGCACGGAGAAUCCUGUGUGUAAGAUCAGUGUGUGAGGGUAAAGCAGCCAUUCCAUAAAUGGUUGUCUUCAUAUCUGGAAUUCAACAUUGAAUAUUUAAUAUGUAGCAUCAUAAUAAAGUAUAAAACAACCUUAUAAAAGGUUUACAUGUCUUAAAUCUUCCUGAACAUUAACGAACCCGCACUUGUGGAACAAUAUAAUUAAGUAUAAUUAAUAUAUAAAUACCACCAGUGUUACAAAAUGGCGCCCAACGUGUGUUUUUAACAGAAUUUAAAUUUUAAGACAUUUUAAGUGCUACUUUGUGCUAAACUAUUUUUUCAACUAUUGUCGACAUAUUGCAAAAUGUGAUCGACGAGGGCAUCGAGUUUCGGCUUCGGGAGGAGCAGGAGCCGCUCGGGUUGGCAGACCAGAUAUCGUAUGUACAUGUACUGUACAUGGGGUUGCUGUUCGUUGCUGUUCCAUCUGCAGAUGUUUGUACUUCACCUGGACGUUUUGGUGCAGUUUUAAGUGGCCAUUGUGCUGCCACUUUUGUUUCAAGUUUCCAGUUAUACUGGUUGGACUAUUUUGUGGGUAUUUUGCCCUCAUAACGCAAAUCUUCGAGACCGUCAUCCUGCUCGUUAGAUCUUCACGGAAGAUGGGAACAAUUAACAUUUCAAAUUUCCAUUAAUGUGAACAUUGAACUAUUGAACAAUUGUGCAUCUAGUGGCUGAAACAAAUUGUGUACAGUAUCCAGGUCAACUGAGCAGCUUAACAUCUGCACGGAGAAUCCUGUGUGUAAGAUCAGUGUGUGAGGGUAAAGCAGCCAUUCCAUAAAUGGUAAAACAAUAUUGAAAUAUUGUUAAAGUCAUGAAUGUAUUAUAAAAGCGGAUAUGUAUGUUUUAUAUUGAUCAUUAUAUGGUUUUCUAUUCAACUUUGUAUAAAAGCCACUAGAUGACCAUCAUAUUAUUAUGUAUGUUAUUUUACUAUAAUUUGUGUUAUUAUUAA